UACGUAGGGGGGCGAGCGUUGUCCGGAUUCAUUGGGCGUAAAGAGCUCGUAGGCGGUUCGGUAAGUCAGAUGUGAAAACUCCAGGCUCAACUUGGAGAGGCCAUCUGAUACUGCUGUGACUAGAGUCCGGUAGGGGAGCACGGAAUUCCUGGUGUAGCGGUGAAAUGCGCAGAUAUCAGGAGGAACACCAGCGGCGAAGGCGGUUCUCUGGGCAUGUCCUGACGCUGAGGAGCGAAAGUGUGGGGAGCGAACAGG
rnacentral:rRNA from 1 species